AUGGGGAGCGCUUUGGAGACGCUGUGCGGGCAGGCGUUCGGCGCCGGCCAGGUGGCUAUGCUGGGCGUCUACAUGCAGCGCUCCUGGAUUGUCCUCAUCGCCGCCGCGCUCCUCAUGGUGCCCUUCUACGUCUUCGCCGAGCCACUCCUCCUCGCCGUCGGCCAGGACCCCGUUCUCGCGCGCGAGGCCGCCCGCUUCGCGCUCUACAUCCUCCCCGGCGCCUUCUCCUUCGCCGUCAACUUCCCCACUGGCAAGUUUUUGCAGGCGCAGAGCAAGGUCCUGAUGCUCGCCUGGAUCGGCGUCGCCGGCCUCUGCUUCCACGUCGCGCUCACCUACCUCCUCGUCACCGUCCUCGGAUGGGGCACCCCGGGCGCCGCCGCCGCCUACGACCUCUCACUCUGGGCCAUCGCGCUGGGUCAGUCCGCCUACAUCAUCGGCUGGUGCAAGGACGGCUGGAGGGGCUGGUCCAUGGCAGCAUUCAACGACAUGUAG
rnacentral:rRNA from 1 species